rnacentral:rRNA from 1 species
CCCUUAGAUGUUCUGGGCCGCACACGCGCUACACUGAAGGAGGCAGCGUGUACUCCUGGAUCGAAAGAUUUGGGUAACCCGCGAAUCUCCUUCGUGCUAGGGAUUGAGGUUUGCAAUUAUCCUUCAUGAACGAGGAAUUCCCAGUAAGUGCAAGUCAUAAGCUUGCGCUGACUACGUCCCUGCCCUUUGUACACACCGCCCGUCGCUACUACCGAUCGAAUGAUUUAGUGAGGACUUCGGACUGGGACCGAUGCGGCUUUCGGGCUGCGUCGGUAUUCUGGAAAGAUGUCCAAACUGUAUCAUUUAGAGGAAGUAAAAGUCGUAACA